AUCCACCAUUCCUGCCAUUUGGCACUAGGAUUCACUCUCACUUUCUGUAGUCCCUGGUUGCUCUGCUGUGGUGGUGCUGAAGAUCCCCAGGGAGCAGGCCUGGAUUUUGAGAACCAGGAAAUGGUUGAAUGGUGGAAUACUUCACCUCUGAUCUAUAUCCCUGGUACUUUUAAAUUUUAUUUUGAGAAAGUGUCUAGGCACUCUCUUCAAAAUGGGAAGAAAAUAAUAUUUCUCCAGAUCAACAUCCUCAUAUCAAGAACUAACCAGCCUUUGAGAAGCUUUGAAGGGAUUUUAUAUAGUUCUGUCUCUGGGUAGAUGUCUGUGUGCUGCUGAGUUACCAUUUAAUGUCCAGAAAACUGUGUUUUCUCAUCUCUACAAUGGGAAUAAUUUUCAAGGAUAAAGAUGGAUAAUGUGCUUUAUGGAGUCUACCAAUAUAUGUAUGUGCUGUGGCCCACAGCUGGACAAAACACCUGGAAGACACCAUGCAGAUACUAAUUGUUGAUCCAUUGUCUGCCACUCACAUGAACUUUUUUCAAAUCUUGUAUUGACCUUUUCACUGUAGGCACCCAUGUCAUGCACAUGCCUGAAUUUAAAGGUUGAGACAUCCUUGUCUGAAUUCCAGAUUCUAAUUCUGUAGUGGCUUAAGGUGGUGCAACUAACAUGUUUCUCCUUGUUCUCCUUCAAUUCUAUGUCCCUAAUAAAAUAGUUCUCUUUUCCAUGCAUAUAUAACCCAUGUUCAGCUAUGUUUAGAAAAUGACAUAGAAACCUGUAUCAAUUGCUGAUUCAUAAAGGAACAUUGAGAUUACUUCUGGAUCAUGUAUGUCCUUAUUAUAAACUGAACCAGGAUUUCCAUAGGUCCCAGAUAGGAAAUCUCAUAACCAGCUAGCUAUGUGAAAAGGUUUUGGUUAGAUAUAUACAGACAUAGCUUCAAGCAAGACUCUUGCCUGCUUUUCUUUCAGGAGAGGAUUACAAUUCCUUACCAAUAUUUCUUCUCAGGUCCAAAAAUAAUAGGAAAGAUACUGCCCUGAAUGAGAGCAGACAGCUUUAACCAGAAAGUUUCCAGAAGCAGAUUUUAUCCUAUCAAAUCCUGGCCAUGGUUUCUUCCAUAACACAUAUCAGAUGGUAAAAAAAGAUACUCUACACAAAUACAUAAAUCAUAAAAAAGAUAUAUAGUAGUAUGUAUAAACACACUUAACAGGCACAGAAGUAGAA